rnacentral:misc_RNA from 1 species
UUUUUUUUUUUUUUAAUGGUAUAUUGAAGGAUGAUUAACGUCAUAUUACAUGAUUUUGUUCCUGCAUUAUGUGCUGAAGAAAAAGAAAAUUAUGCAACCAAUUAUUCCAGUAGCUGAGAUUUGUCCUAACGUUUGCUUCUAUUGUUAAUCCUGCCUAUCAAAAUUUGUUAGUGUGAAUCUAUUACCUUUUUAAUUAAUUUUCUGGUUGCAAUUGCUACUAUUAAUAAUAGUUAAGACAAGAAAUGAAAGUGCAUCUUGUCAAGUAUUUAACCAUCUCAGGGAGUGGAACUGUAGAAGGUUUCUCAUAUGGCUUGCAAAAAAGAAUCCAGAUUCAGCAAAUUAUUUGGGACUUGAAAUACGGCAAAAA